rnacentral:rRNA from 1 species
AGAACGAACGCUGGCGGCAUGCCUAACACAUGCAAGUCGAACGCUCAUCUUCGGAUGGGAGUGGCGCACGGGUGAGUAACGCGUGGGAACCUGCCCCGAGGUUCGGGAUAACCGAUGGAAACGUCGGCUAAUACCGGAUACGUCCUAAGGGAGAAAGAUUUAUCGCCCUGGGAGGGGCCCGCGUCGGAUUAGCUAGUUGGUGGGGUAACGGCCUACCAAGGCGAUGAUCCGUAGCUGGUCUGAGAGGAUGAUCAGCCACACUGGGACUGAGACACGGCCCAGACUCCUACGGGAGGCAGCAGUGGGGAAUAUUGGACAAUGGGCGCAAGCCUGAUCCAGCAAUGCCGCGUGAGUGAUGAAGGCCUUAGGGUUGUAAAGCUCUUUCGGCGGGACGAUGAUGACGUACCGCAGAGAAGCCCGGCUAACUCGCGCCAGCAGCCGC